GCCUCGCGGAAGGAGCGCCAGCCAGGUGAGCCCGGCCCGUGCACUUGCUAGUGAGUCCCCGCCUCUAACCUAAGGCAGCGCUCCGGGAAGUGAUCUCGGUGCUCAAGGCGGCAAAGUUCCAGUAACAGGAUAAAACCGUAAGGAAUGCGUUGAAAGAUGCCAUUGUUCUCGUUGGAAAAAAUCUGGGUGGUCACAUGUCUAAGGAUCUUGGGCGGUGAGGAGACACCUUUCUUCAGGAAACCAUUUGUAGAAGUGAUUGCCAGCAGUGAAUUAACUCUGGGGUCGUGCAUUCACUUGGAAUGAAUGAGAAGAAAAAGGUGCCUCUUCUGGACGCGGGAUGACUGCCUUGCACACCUCACGGUCCCCUAGAGGGCAGCCCAGUCCCGCAGGCCAUCUGGAGUUGUUUUUCUCUGCAUGGCCAGGCACCUAAACUCCGUACAAUGGGAUGUGUGCAGUUUCAGAAUUAUACCUUCCAAAAGAAGGAAGCAUGCGAACCUGUCCCCCCUCCCCUCUUCCUGCUAGCUGUAAUGCCGAUGUAAUGGUAUGGUCUGGAUCACGUGUUGGAUCCCAGAUAGAAGCGCUUGUUGAAGAUGACUGACCAACAAUAGAGAAUGACUCCUUGAGACCGUGGAGGCAUCAUGUCAACCUUGGAUUGUGAACAUCAUGUCAACCUUGGAGAGAAAUAAACCGUCAUCUUGUCUAGGCCUGCAUCGUCUAAUAUGGUAGCCAUCAGCCACAUGGGGCUAUUGGACAGUGAAAGUGUGGCUGGUGUCACACACUGAAAAUUUUGAUAUAUUGGAUUGAAUAAAAUAUGCUGUUAAAAGGAACACUUCCCUUUGACUUCAUUGUAAUGUGGCUACUAGAAAAUUUAAAAUUGCACAUGUAGCUCACAUUAAUUUUUUAUUGGUCAACGCUGGUUUAGGCCAUUGAUAUUUUGCCUUUGUUAUAGCAGCUGAAUGUCACUAGUAACGGGUCAUGUAGUCAUUGGUGCCACUUGAAGUCACGUGUAGGGGGCCCCCUAGCAAGAGUAGGUCAUGAGACGAGCAGGGGCUCUGGAAGAGUUUUGAGGGACUCUAGUAUUCAAAGGAGUAUGAGCUUGCAAGAGUCAGAGAACGAGCCCAGAGAAGGAACAGGAAAACCAGGAGAAUGAUGUGCCUUACAAUCUUAGAGAGCAGCGUUUCAGGUUGGAAGGAGGUACCAAGUGCAUCGGUUACUUGAGAGGUCAGAAAGAUAAAAACUGGGGGACCUGGGUGGCUCAGUCAGUUGAGUGUCCAACAUCAGCUCAGGUCAUGAUCUCACAGUUCGUGGGUUCGAGCCCCACCUUGGGCUCUGUGCUUACAGCUCAGAGCCUGGAGCCUGCUUUGGAUUCUAUGUCUCUGUC